rnacentral:tRNA from 7 species
CGGGGUGUAGCGCAGCUUGGUAGCGCGCUUGAAUGGGGUUCAAGAGGUCGUGGGUUCAAAUCCCGCCACCCCGACCA